rnacentral:misc_RNA from 1 species
GAUGAAGAACGCAGCGAAAUGCGAUAAGUAAUGUGAAUUGCAGAAUUCAGUGAAUCAUCGAAUCUUUGAACGCACAUUGCGCCCCCUGGUAUUCCGGGGGGCAUGCCUGUCAGAGCGUCAUUACAACCCUCAAGCUCAGCUUGGUGUUGGGCCCCGCCGCCCCGGCGGGCCCUAAAGUCAGUGGCGGUGCCGUCCGGCUCCGAGCGUAGUAAUUCUUCUCGCUCUGGAGGUCCGGUCGUGUGCUCGCCAGCAACCCCCAAUUUUUUUCAGGUUGACCUCGGAUCAGGUAGGGAUACCCGCUGAACUUAAGCAUAUAAUAAGCGGAGGA